GGAGGACUGCAACAGGAGGAGUACUCCAGCAAUAUGUUUUAACAUUCAUCCAUCCAUCCAUCCAUCCAUUUUCUAUGCCGCUUCUCUCAUUAGGGUCGCGGGGGCAUGCAAGGAUAUAAAAACGCUACAGUACAGCGGACCGGCACCAGGACGAAAAGGCACGAUCACAGGAGUGAAAUACGCGCGGGAAUUUCAAAGGCCUUAUCAGAUGAAGGUUAGCAUUCUGAAUGUGAGCUUAAUCGUCAUUCUGCAUACUUCCUGCUCUGCGCAUACAAGGAAUGUCAUCGUUUUCCUGUAACCUUGAACGCAUUGAACUCAGACCGCAGCUGGAAAACGUCAAUAAUAUUCAUAGUUAAUGUUUCUUUGCUUGAGUGAGUUUGGUGUGGAACCCUGACCGUAAGUCCAUCAAACACCUUUGGGGAUGAACUAGAGCAGAGAUGACAAGCCAGCAGGACCCUCUCUCAGCACUUCACACGGGACUGUUUUGUGAACAUGGGCCAAUAUGAAGCUGGACUAUCCAACAAACUGUUGCUGAAGUCAGACGCCUUUCCAACGUUAAUUCGGAAGAGCAAGCUUGUGAGAUGCAGCAGAAGGCACAGAGAGCCACCUGCUCCUCCUCACAAUGGAGCAGCCUGUACUCAUCGUGACUGGGACAUGUCCAGGCGCUCAACUCCUCGGCAUCCACCAACAGGUGACCCGGCGCUGCGCAUGGCUGCUGCAGGUGCGUGUGCACGUGCAUCUGGCAGCAGGGCUCCUUGCAGCGUAGGCACACCUUCCUGACGGGCAGCGACGGGCCUCGUCUGCACAGGAUGCACUGCAAAGUUGCCGGGGCCUUCUCAGAGUCCAACACGUUGAACCUCUUGACGAUGUUGGCCAGCUUGAAGUUCUUUUCCAGUAAAGGUUUCUGCUCGUACUCGUGAUUGCACUCGGGACAGCGGACCCCUGUGCCGCUAUCUUUAGCCCACGCCUCUGAUAUGCAGCCUUUGCAGAAGUUGUGUUUGCAUUGCAGUUGGAUGGGCUCCUCGAACACAUUCAGGCAGAUGGGACAUAGAAGCUCCUCCUCAAAGUAGUUUCUCCAACUCAGAUCCAUGACUUCAACUGGGUCCAAACUCUGAAAGUUAACAAGAAAAGAAUAAUUUCUUGGAAUAGCUCAGUGAAGUAAAGACAUACUAAUAUUAUGCUUACAGUGCUAUUCCCAUUAUGCUCCAAGUGGAUGGAAUAGAAUAGAAGGUCAAGAUGUUCCAGAAAAGCUCAUUUAGAGGGUGGAUGGUAGGAGACGAUUUAGGUAAACCAAAAUAAAACAACAGAAUAGCUGUUCACUAGGUAAUGCAGAAUUAAAGUGUGGGUCGUAGAAGCUAUCGAGGUAACCCACAAUAGAACAUAAGUAGACAUAGUAAUGUUAAUUUAAAGGGUAGAAGGUUAAAAACUAUCCAUGUUACCCACAUUACACUACAAUAAAGUGUCAAUAAAUUCUAGUAAUUCCGAUUUAAAGUGUAGACUAUAAUAAACUAUCCAGGUAACCCACAAUAGAACAAAAAAAAGAUGCCAAUGUGAAUGUAGAGGAGAGUAUGUAAAAAACAACUAUGUAACCCGCAAUAAAAUGUAAAAGGAUGCCAAUAAUGUGAAUUUAAAGGGUGGAAGGUACAAAAAACAUCCAUGUAACCCACAAUAAACGACAAUAGCAUGUCAGUAAGUCCCAGUAAUGCCAAUUAAAAGGAUCGACAGUAAGAAACUAUCCAGAUAACCUACAAUAGAACAUAAAUGGACGUCAGUACAGUAAUGCAAAUUUAAAGGGUGGUAUGUAAAAAAAAAACACUAUCCAUGUAACUCAUAAUAUACAAUAGAAUGCCAAUAAAUCAAAUUAAUCGCAAUUUGCCACUGGUAAUUUAAAGGGCGCAAACACCAGCCCUACAAUUGCAUAUCCAGUAAUAGAAUCACUCAUCUGUGUGAAUAUAAAGGGUGGACGGAAAUAAACUAUCCAUGUAACCCACAAUAGAAUAGAAUACUGUAAUAUGAAUGUUACAAUUAUACACAUUUAGCAGGUAGUUUGUAUUUUUAAAAGUAAUCGAAACACCUUUAAGGUCUUUAAAUUGUUAUGGUAAUAUGAUCUCGAACGCCAUACAGGUAAUGGAACAUUUGUUUGUUGUGUGUCAGUUGUCAUAAGGCAAUCCCAGCAGAGGCGUAUCGAAAGAAAAAAGUGUCAACUUGCUACAAAAGCAGAAAUGUCAUGCUGAGCUACGCAGACACUGUAUCGUAACACCACAUUCCUGCUUCCUGUACGCGAUCAUAACAGUCGGAAUUCUCACCAAUCAAAGAAAAAAAGAGACGUACCAACUAUUUCUUUUCCAUAUCAUCCGCACACCCCAGCGCACCUUCCACACACAGGAGCCUCUCGUCGUCCAAGCCCCGGGAUGAGCCAGAUCCUCGGCGUCCAAGCAGGCGGCGAGCCCCGGUUUAGCGAUCACUCACUUAGCACCGGGAUUGUGUCGUUUGUAAAACAACGCUCGUUGCCACUAUUUGAUGUUUGUUUAGCUGACGAACCGUCAAAGAUACGUGGAAGCCAAACGAAAAGUGGUCGGAAGAGAGCUCCGCGCGUCCAGGCAGACCGGCCCACUCUGCUAACGUGACCCGUCAGAGUUGAUACAUACACGGGGAGGGGAGAAGCCCAGAGGAGGAGCCAGCAGGCUGAGAGUCAGCAGCAAUUACUUUUAGAGCUGAGGCCCCCUGGGGCCCAUCAAAUAAAUGGGAAUAAAGUUGUGAGCGCAACAUAAAGCUAAUAAACGUUAUUUUCAUUCAGCAGUAAGAAGGGGUUGAUGAUAUAAACUGCAGGCCAAUGAUAAAUUGCUUUAAUAAGGAUAACAUUUGAAUUAUUGUCACAAUCAACACAAUGUAUUAAUCACUGGGGGUUUAACUGGAGUAACAGCAUACGUAGUUCAACAGUAAAAGUAACAUUUUAUUGUAAUACUCACAGCAGUUAGUACUCUAAACAACAGUGUUUACCUUCAAACACUGGGGGGAAAUGAUCUAGUCCAUUUUUGGUGCAGGUUUGAAAGAUGAACCUAGAUUUUAUUUUGUCAUGACAAGACAUUUCAUAUUUACAAACAUUUCAGCAACUGGAUGAAGAAAUUAAAGUAGAAUUCCAAGCAGACUCAAACGUCAACAUAUUCAACUAUAAUAGCCUAAUCUGGUUUAGAAAAGACAUUGUGUUUUUCCUCAGUGUUCCAUCUUUAUUGGUGUAAAUACCUACACUCUUUAAUGCACUUGGGAUUAUAAUAAGCAAGUUCAGUCAAAUGUGAUAGUACAUAAUAAAAUAGCUAAAUUUGUCACCCAACUUUUGAAAAAAAAAACACAAAAACAGUACUGUAACUGUACACAUGCACUGUAAAAAAAAAAAAAAAAAGAAAAAGUAAAAGUAGUCUCUUCAAUUUUGGUGCUAUUGGGAUUAAAAUCCAGAAGCUUCAUGGUGCAGUAACAGUCAACACAUUUUUAGUAUGAGGUCCUUUUUUGAACUCAAGGCACAGGAGUUUUGCUCCAAUUCAUUGUUUAAGAGGUCCCACAUACGACAAAAAAAAAAAUCCAACCAAAAAAACCAAAACAUAACUAGAGAAGGUAAUGGUUGAGAUUACAAUCUUUAACCACUAAAACUAGCUAUUGCUUGACAUGAGCAAGCAUGAAAGUACAUAUCAUUGAUGAUGUUGGCACACUGGAGAAAAGGCUGCUGGUACCUGUACUAUAUCAGAUACAUACUCUAUGAAAGAAAAGAGUUGACAUGUUGGCUUACUUCACAUGUGACAAUGCACUGGCAGUGAUUGGUAGCUGUUCAUGUAUCAUAUGACAGCCAUUACUUUGGCAUGAUGAAGACAAAACAUGUCCAGCAUUUGUUAAGUCUAUAUAUAAAGGCAAUAUCAAACAGAACAUCUGUUAAAAGGGAUCAGUAGCUGACGUUUUUGUCUUUACUGUGGCCACUGGAAUAAAUACAACACAAGUUAUUGCUUGUGACAUUGAUGUCUGCAUUGCAAAAUGUUUUUAAUUUGGACCUGAGACUUUGAGCCGCCUGGCUGGAGGCACUUUUGAAAAUGGUCAACCACCGUGUGGACACAGGACCCAUGCAGAUCAUCAGAUAGUCUUUUUGGAGUUCACUUGUCUUAGUCAGAACACCCCAAAGUCAAUGUGACCUCAGUGUGUUUAUGUGCAGGUUUGGAGUUGUUUUUUGUCAUAAUUAGGCAUCUGUGUCUCAUUGCAGAGGGUUAUCAAACACAGAGUCUGGUAAGACGGAGAUCUUCAGCUUCUUCUCUGGCCAAGUGUACUCCUUUGGUAAUUUCGUCUAAGAAAGAAAACGGUUAGCCUAAACAGAACUGUGGUUUAAAGUUACAAUCUCCAUAAAUGCACUCACAUCCUCACAACUGUUAAGGUCAUGUAUGUCUCCAAGCAUCUGAUCCACAAACUCUUCCGUCAACAAUAUCUGCACAGGGACGACAGAUACAAAUAUGACAGAUCAAAAACAUGUAAAUGCCAAACUGAAAGUGUAUGUGUGUACCUGGAGCCAGGGGCCAUGGGCUGCAUAGGGAUGUUCUUCAGUAGCAAAGGCUCCCUCCACCCCUGUAGACACAAACGUAAUGGCCGUGUCUCCGUGAAUGCUUUUGAAAGUAAAAUGUCUUCCGUGGAGCAAGCGACCCCUGUAAGACAUUUCAAUAUAAGAGUUAAAAGGGUAUCUAGCAAUUAGUAUGAGUAUUCAUAAAAAAACAUGCAUUUCUUUCUUCUUCAUUGCCCAUGUAUUUCAUGUAUGAGACAACAUGACAAAACUUUUUCUUUAGCUUUUUUUUGUGAUGCCACUGAAGGGUACCGCUGAAGGCAAAGAGCAAAUAUGUGAUGACGACCAUAGAACAGGGACGUAGUACACGUUUAUGUCAAAUAAAGAACAGAAUGUGCAUUGGUGUGUUUACAUGCGUUAAUGUUGGUACCUUUCUAUAUUAAUAGUGGUUAACUUCCUUUUGCUCUUGUAUGUUAAAAAGCACAAUGAAUGAAAUUACCAUGCAAAGAGACUUGCCUUCAGGAACCCUCCUUUCGACCUCUCUAUAGUCUACACAUGAUCAAAGUUAAAAGUGAGUACAUAAUUUAUUGGGUACAGUGUUCCCUCGCUCUAUCCCGGUUCACCUUUUGCAAAUUGGCAGAAUUAUUAUUGUUUAUUUUUAUAGGUUUUUUGAACGCGUUUGCAUUGGCAGAAUUUUUAUUAGGUUUUUUUGUUGUUGUUUUUUUACUGCAUUUGAACACUGUUACAGGCAGAGCCUGGCCCUUUAAGAAGAAUUGCAAUGUGGGAAGCUGAGUGUCUCUCUUCUCUCGCUCAUCUGUCUGCACUGCCCAUUGUUUUCUGCGUUCUGAUUGGCUGUAGAGCAUUGUCAAUCAAUGUCCUUUGUGCCAUCCUGCUGUGUCUCUGCUAGCUUGCUAGCUUGUAAAUUAAUCUUGGUUCAGCUGCAGCAAUGUUUUAACAAGGAUACAAAAACGCUUCAGUACAGCGGAACGGCGCUAGGAUGAAAAGGCACGGUCACAAGAGUGAAAUGUGCGUGAGUGACUUAAUUUCUUGUGUUGAUCACUAAGGUUGAUAAUUAAAUUUCAGUUAUUGCGGGCUAUUUUGAGAACCUAUCCCCUGCGAUAAACGAGGAAACACUGUAUUGCAACUAACUUAUUUUUACACUUAAGAAUGUUGUUUAUUGUUUAUUGAAGUUAAUUGGUUCCAGACCUGACCGUGAUAAAUGAAUUUCUAUGAAGUAGGAUUCCUUAUUUAUAAAUCAAAUACUUUCAUAGUUAGAGCGUAGAAAACUUGUUUACAACCUAAAUGCAGGUUUUAACAUGAGAGCCCUCUAGACAUCUGUCAACUUUACACUCGUAUUACCCAAUAUAGUAGACAUACAGUAAUAACAGAAAAUAUGACAUAUUAGACAUAAAUAAGACAUAACAUAGGCUCACACGUUAGCAUUUGGAGAGUUCCUUACUUUUUUUCUGGACGGCAUGGUGGCUGUUGUCUCAUCAAUGUAACAUUACUUACACCUAGCGAUGAUCAGUGUAGAAUACUACAUCUCACAUGUUUGAAUGAGUCUUCUGAAUGCCUUAUACAGUAAUCCCACAUUUAUUGCGGUUAACUGGUUGCAGACCCGACCGUGAUAAGUGAAUUUCUGCAAAGUAGGAUUCCCUCUUUAUAAAUUUAAUAUUUUUGUAGUUAUUGCCUGCUUAUGAUCCUCUAAUGUUUUUUCAACAUUGUCAGAGCCCACUAGACAUGAAAUAACACCCAUGUUUUCACCUUUACAUUCAUAUGACCCAAUAUAGUAAACAUAAUCAUAGAAAAUAUGACAUUUAAGACAGUUUACCUAGUAGGGAAGCAGAAUGGGUGGCGGACAGGCAGUGUAAUGUCGGGAGUUCAGAAUUGAGUUAUACCUUGGCAUGGGUUAUGGCCACAACAAUAGCUCAUGUUAUUAUAAUAAUAAUAAUAAUAUUAGGGAUGUCACCAGACACCCAACUUACGAGAUGAGACAAUGCACAAGAUAUGGGUCCAACAUUAAUUUUUAAGAAAAGUACAAAGAAAAAAUAUGACGGGACAAACAAACAAAUUUUAUUUAACCAAGUCACACAACAAUGCAGGAUCGCUUUGAAAUGUUUGUUGUCCCACAAACUGACGCUAAAUUAUAUUAUUAGCACAAUUUUUUGAGACCAAAUAAACCAAUGUAUGAUAAUCCAUCCAUCCAUUUUCUAUGCCGCUUAUCCUCACUAGGGUCACGGGGGUAUGCUGGAGCCUAUCCCAGCUGAUUUCAGGCGAGAGGCGGGGUACACUCUGGACUGGUCGCCAGCCAAACGCAGGGCCACUGUAUGAUAAUAUAUCAUAAUAAUGCAAUAUUUCAUUUAAUGCCAUCUUUCACUCUGUAAAGUUGCAGAAUUGUUUUUUGUGACAUGUAUUUUCUCACAGGCAAUUAAAUACUGUCUGUCAGAUGCUAGAUUUUCAACGAGGGUGUCAACAUUAAUAGUUCCAGCUUAUUGAACAAUGCCAGGUCCUUGUUUUUGUCUAAUUUUUAUUUUGUCUUAUUUACUUGUCUUUGCCUAUUUAUGCCAGGGCUGUCUAGCUGUCUGUUGUUAUUUAGAAUUUUAAAAAAAAUUCGAAUAAAAAAAAAAAACAUUUAAAGACAAAUCUUUUUUUAAAGUAAUUUUUUAUUAGUUAUU